rnacentral:rRNA from 1 species
GGAAUAUUGGACAAUGGGCGAAAGCCUGAUCCAGCAAUGCCGCGUGAGUGAUGAAGGCCUUAGGGUUGUAAAGCUCUUUUACCAGGGAUGAUAAUGACAGUACCUGGAGAAUAAGCUCCGGCUAACUCCGUGCCAGCAGCCGCGGUAAUACGGAGGGAGCUAGCGUUGUUCGGAAUUACUGGGCGUAAAGCGCACGUAGGCGGCGAUUCAAGUCAGAGGUGAAAGCCCGGGGCUCAACCCCGGAACUGCCUUUGAAACUAGAUUGCUAGAAUCUUGGAGAGGCGAGUGGAAUUCCGAGUGUAGAGGUGAAAUUCGUAGAUAUUCGGAGGAACACCAGUGGCGAAGGCGGCUCACUGGCUCGGUACUGACGCUGAGGUGCGAAAGCGUGGGGAGCAAAC